rnacentral:rRNA from 1 species
AUGCCAUAUACUAUCACAUCAGACAGAGACCUAGUGUUCACUAGCAAGUUUUGGAAAGAACUAUGGACUUUGUGGGGAUCCAAACUGCAGAUGUCCACAGCUAGACACCCUCAAACGGAUGGCCAAUCAGUGAGGGUCAAUCAGUGUCUUGAGAUGUACCUUAGGUGUUCUGUAAAUGCUACACCAACCAAGUGGGCCAUUUGGUUACCUCUCGCUGAGUUCUGAUAUAAUAUCUCUCAUCACUGAUCGAUUGGUUGUUCCCCCUUCAAGGCGUUGUAUGGACAUGAGCCACACAUGAGAGAACUACCUAGGGCCAUAACUACAGACAAUGCUGAUGUAGACGACUGGAUACAAGAGCGACAAUGCUACUCUGAACAUUUGCAAGCCCAGCUGCACAAAGCUCAAGCUAAGAUGAAAUCAGAUGCUGACAACCGUUCUCCACGCGAUUUUCAGCUGGGAGAAGAAGUGUUCCUCAAGUUACAACCAUAUACUCAAUCAUCAGUGGUCAAUCGGCCAUUUCCUAAGUUGGCAUUCAAGUAUUUUGGUCCAUUUAAAAUUCUGGAAAAGAUAGGACAUGCAACAUACAAACUGGAUCCUCCGGAUGGCAGUCCAUGUGUCUCAACUGAAACAACAUAUUCCAGACCACACACCAGUCUUUACUACUCUGCCUGCACCUUUGAUGAUGGAAGUGGAAGAUCUUCAACUGGAGAAGAUUCUGGAGCGUCGGCUCGUGAAGAAAGGUAA